GACGAACGCUGGCGGCGUGCCUAAUACAUGCAAGUUGAGCGCUGAAGGUUGGUACUUGUACCAACUGGAUGAGCAGCGAACGGGUGAGUAACGCGUGGGGAAUCUGCCUUUGAGCGGGGGACAACAUUUGGAAACGAAUGCUAAUACCGCAUAAAAACUUUAAACACAAGUUUUAAGUUUGAAAGAUGCAAUUGCAUCACUCAAAGAUGAUCCCGCGUUGUAUUAGCUAGUUGGUGAGGUAAAGGCUCACCAAGGCGAUGAUACAUAGCCGACCUGAGAGGGUGAUCGGCCACAUUGGGACUGAGACACGGCCCAAACUCCUACGGGAGGCAGCAGUAGGGAAUCUUCGGCAAUGGACGAAAGUCUGACCGAGCAACGCCGCGUGAGUGAAGAAGGUUUUCGGAUCGUAAAACUCUGUUGGUAGAGAAGAACGUUGGUGAGAGUGGAAAGCUCAUCAAGUGACGGUAACUACCCAGAAAGGGACGGCAAACUACGU
rnacentral:rRNA from 1 species